UGGGGAAUAUUGGACAAUGGGCGAAAGCCUGAUCCAGCCAUGCCGCGUGUGUGAAGAAGGUCUUCGGAUUGUAAAGCACUUUAAGUUGGGAGGAAGGGCAGUAAGCGAAUACCUUGCUGUUUUGACGUUACCGACAGAAUAAGCACCGGCUAACUCUGUGCCAGCAGCCGCGGUAAUACAGAGGGUGCAAGCGUUAAUCGGAAUUACUGGGCGUAAAGCGCGCGUAGGUGGUUCGUUAAGUUGAAUGUGAAAGCCCCGGGCUCAACCUGGGAACUGCAUCCAAGACUGGCGAGCUAGAGUAGGGCAGAGGGUGGUGGAAUUUCCUGUGUAGCGGUGAAAUGCGUGGAUAUAGGAAGGAACACCAGUGGCGAAGGCGACCACCUGGGCUCAUACUGACACUGAGGUGCGAAAGAGUGGGGAGCAAACAGG
rnacentral:rRNA from 1 species